rnacentral:lncRNA from 1 species
CUUGCUGGCCUCAUACAAGGAGGCCAUACACUAACUAGAAUCUUACUUCCAUCCCAGGAUCUAUUAAAACCCUCACCCUAAAGAACACGCAAGGUACCAUGGGCUUUUCCAGAUCAUGAGUCAAGUUUACCCAGCUUUAGAUUAGAAUCUUCUCUUUUCCAUAUGGUUCAAAGUACACUGGCAAGAAGCUAUUACUGUUUACACAGACUUCAACUAAGUAAAUUCUGCAAGACAAUGUUGGAGACACUACUGCUGCCUCUCAGAAGAGUAGCUUACAAUGUAUUCUGAAACAAGAUGAGAAACAUUUGCACUAUUUCUAGCUCCUAUUUCACCACCACUACCAAAAGCCAUUUUGCUUGGGAGAUAAUGCUCAUUAUGAAGGGAAAAAAACCUUCUUUGUUACUUCCAAAGGAAACAAGACGUUUAGUUUUGAUUUCAAACUCAGAGGUAUCAGAAUGGCAAAGUGAGUUCUCCCUUUCCUACUUAAAUUAUUCUGUUUUUCAUUUUCCUAGUUUCCCACUGGCAGAGAAUGCAAUUAUUGCCAUGCUUUUUUGACUAGCUAGUUGGCUCUUUCUUAUGAAAAUGUGAACCAUAAGUUGAAGAGGCUACUUGGCUGGUCUGUCUAUGGUGAGCUCUUCCACGCCAUAGGUCACUAAAACGCUCUUGGUAAGAUUUCCUUGUAAUUUCCUUGAAUUGUUCUCAGAAGCCACAAUUUAUUAAAUUGCCUCUACUGAACUACAUAGCAUAAUUCAUUCCAGGAAAUUUCCUUUUUAAUAUUUUUCACAUCAAACCAUCUUAAGUCUACUAGUUAUGUUCAAAUGUUUACACAUACACAACUCACCGUUGAUGACCAGCAGCCAAAAAGUCUCAGAGGUGUGACCACUGUAUACAUUUAUACAUAUACAAGCAUGCACAUGUAUAGAUCUGGGAAGGUUAGUGCACUCAAUCAGCUGGCAUCGAUGAUCUCUGCUUUGAGCAAAUCGGAAUAUUUUCAGAAUGUUGUCAUAAAUGGAAACAUGGGUGACAGUUAUUCUGUAUAAUACAAGAUAUCUCUAUAUUAACUGGGAGAACAACAUGGAUGCUAAUAAAUGUAGUUCACUGAAGUUCA